GACAGAGGAGCCAAGCGUUGUCCGGAUUGACUGGGCGUAAAGCCCACGCAGGCGGCCCGGCGCGUGGGGUGUGAAAGCUGGCGGCUUAACUGCCAGACGCCAUCCCAUACGGCUGGGCUCGAGCCCUGCAGAGGUCCAUGGAAUUGCCGGUGUAGUGGUGAAAUGCGUAGAGAUCGGCAGGAACACCCAGGGGGAAACCAGUGGACUGGGCAGGAGCUGACGCUCAGGUGCGAAAGCGUGGGGAGCGAACCGG
rnacentral:rRNA from 1 species